UUUCCACAUGCUAACACAUGUAUUACAGUAAUCCAGCUUUAUGAUCAAUUGAACCAAAACUCCUCCCAGUUAUGCCGUUGCAUGAUUUGAGCCUAUAUAUGGGUCAUUCAAUAACCAUCUUGGAGUUGACCUGCUAUAAAUAAAACCAUAUAUGCAGAUGUGUGGAUAAUGAAGAAGCGGUAAAACAGUGAAUAAAAGGGGAUGCAGAAAUUGUAAUGGAUAAAGGAAUAAGCUCCGAUUCUACCAAGCUUGUAGAGGAAGU
rnacentral:lncRNA from 1 species